rnacentral:lncRNA from 1 species
UGUAGCGUUUGAUGGAUUUCCGAUCACCGCUGCUUACAUUUUUUUCGGUGUGAACAACAUCGGUAGCGUCCUGAUUUCGUACUGUUAACGUGGGUAUCCAUCUUACCGGACCACUCAUCUAUUGUGAAUUUUUAUAGAUUAGUAGUUUAUUUGAGAUCGAAUAAUUGGGAUUUUGUUAGAAUUUUUAAAUUUUGAAAACAGUUUUAGGCAAUGAUUGUAGAUUUUUUCUUAUUGGUGUGUUCACGUCCUGAUGAAUUGCCUUUGUUUUGUAGCCAAAAUAUGUAAAAUAUUCACAAAAAUUUUUCGUUUGCUUUCUUAUUGUAGAGAUGGGGUUUUAACGACGGUUUUUUUUUUCUAUAAUACAGGCUUUGAUGAUAACAUUCUUGGAUUACCUAUAUGGACAAACUACUUGCAGAUGUUAUCUGUGGCAGUUAAAUUUACUUUUAUUUCCAAAAAUACUUCUGAUGAGAUGGUCGAAAAAUCCAUACGCAUAGGAUGUUAACAAUGGUUAAACAUAAUAAAUGAACACAGAGGGUAAAUCAGAAGGAGUCGAAAUGUGAAGAAACAGAGCCCCACUCACACUUCUUUCUCUUGGACUUAGGAUGGAGUCAUUUGCAGAGAGGGUUAUCAUUUAAACUUAUUAAAUGAACAAGAAGACAAAGAAUAAGGAAGAAUAAACGUGGAGAAGUGGAACCCCGUUAAUGUUCCGUCCUCUUAGACUUGAAAAGUGCAAUUUUUAGAGAACAAAUGAAGCUCAAUUCACAUUGAUGUAUUUAAGAAUAAAACUUGAGCACAGUACAAUUAUCCUGGAGGUAAGUAAUUGCUUUAUUUGUUUAUUUUGGUGGUACUUCAUUUUCAUAGUAAUUUGCCAUGCCUGGCAUCUAUGGUUUUUGUUCUCUUACAGUUAUCUAUUGCCCACAUCUACGAUUUUCUUCAAUCAAUUAUCUAUUGUGUACAAGCAUCUAUGGUUAUUUCUAUUGCCUUUAAGAUUUAUCAUUAUCUAUGGAUUUAUCUGUCUUGAAUAAAAUUGACAGCACAUCGCCAUUUUAUAAUUUCAUUGUCCAAAUGGCGAGAAAGAGAGAAUUAAAGUUCAGAUUGAUGGUAUUCAAACAGCCAUUGUCUUGUCUUGAUUUGCUGUUUUCGUCUUCAACUUGCAACAUUAAAUUUUCGACAGAUGAGUGAGAGCCAGACGAGAUUUAUAUGAAUUUCACUGGAACAAGUUUUCUGCUACGAUAUUCCUUCUGGAUUUAGUUUGCUUUUCACAAAUCCAAACUUGGGAAGUUUACAAUAGUCUUAUGUUUGCUAAGGUGAGAGUAUUUAAUAUAAUUAAUAUUAAUUGCUCUUUAUUAAUCUGUUACCACCGUAUCUGUUUCAGAUCGACGCUGGAGAAGACAGAAGACCCUGUAGUUAAAAUAGUUCUUUUGUUUUGCAUGCUCUACCUAAUUAAAAUAAUUCUUUUAGUGCAAAUUCAGAUUAAU